UUCAAAAGAUAAUAUAAAAUAUUGGUUUUAUUAUAUACAAAUUUAUUGGUUCUAUUAUAUACAAAAAAAAUAUAAAAUAUUAAGAAAAAUAUGAAAAAUAGAAAAGUAUCUAAAAGAAUGUUCAUAACUACUAAUACACUAAUAUUUCAAAACUCUCCACCAUGACUUCUUGCUCUUCUAAAUAGUUGUUAUUGAUUCAUUAUGCUUCUCUUGCACAUCACCAUCUGUUGUUGGAAGGAAAGGGCUUGCACCAUGAAGAGAAAAAACUGAAUACGAAAACCCUUUAACUUGUUCAAUCAUUGCCCCUACUCCCUUCAACUCCCCAAAUCUUACCAUCCAUAUAGAAUUAACCUGCAGAAAAUAAGUAUGGUCAAACAUGUUAUGUAUCAAUUCGAAAUGGCAUAGAAGCAUUACAGAAUUUCAAAUAGUUGUUACCAUUUACCAGAAAAUACACCGUAUUAAGUACUUUUCUAAUUAUUAAGAGAAAAAAGACAAUUAAAUCAUAAAUAUAUAACUAGAAAGUAACAUGAAGCUGUUGUGACGAUGACUAUAUAUAUCUUACCAAAAUGUAAAAUUCUCCUUGCCAGCCCUUAUAAUGAACCCAAGGGAUUCCAUAAUAGCCAUUCAAAGUACUUUCCAAUAUAAAAAAUAUAAAACUGAGAACUACAUAAGUAUCAUUAGAUCAAUUGAAGCUAAAAGUAUACUUUCUUAAUAAUCAUGUUCAAACACAAAAGGAAGAUUACUCACCUGUAAACUUGCCACUCAUAAGCUCCAAAACAUAAAUAAGCUCCAUAGCAGUAGCUUUGAAUUGGCGAGACAACAUUAUGAAAUCUAGAUCUUACUCCACUUGUUCCAGCUCUAGAUUAUAAAAAUGGAAGCAACUAGUCUUAAAAGAAAAUGAAUUAUAUUUUAUCAAUGG
rnacentral:sRNA from 1 species